GAUGAACGCUGGCGGCGUGCCUAAUACAUGCAAGUCGAGCGAACAGACGAGGAGCUUGCUCCUCUGACGUUAGCGGUGGACGGGUGAGUAACACGUGGAUAACCUACCUAUAAGACUGGGAUAACUUCGGGAAACCGGAGCUAAUACCGGAUAACAUGUUGAACCGCAUGGUUCAACAGUGAAAGACGGUCUUGCUGUCACUUAUAGAUGGAUCCGCGCCGCAUUAGCUAGUUGGUAAGGUAACGGCUUACCAAAGCAACGAUGCGUAGCCGACCUGAGAGGGUGAUCGGCCACACUGGAACUGAGACACGGUCCAGACUCCUACGGGAGGCAGCAGUAGGGAAUCUUCCGCAAUGGGCGAAAGCCUGACGGAGCAACGCCGCGUGAGUGAAGAAGGUCUUCGGAUCGUAAAACUCUGUUAUUAGGGAAGAACAAAUGUGUAAGUAACUAUGCACGUCUUGACGGUACCUAAUCAGAAAGCCACGGCUAACUACGUG
rnacentral:rRNA from 1 species